UACGUAGGGGGGCAAGCGUUGUCCGGAUUUAUUGGGCGUAAAGAGCGUGUAGGCGGCCAGGUAGGUCUGCUGUGAAAACUCGAGGCUUAACCUCGAGCUGUCGGCGGAAACCAUCUGGCUAGAGUCCGGAAGAGGAGAAUGGAAUCCCGGUGUAGCGGUGAAAUGCGCAGAUAUCGGGAAGAACACCCGUGGCGAAGGCGGUUCUCUGGGACGGUACUGACGCUGAGACGCGAAAGCGUGGGGAGCGAACAGG
rnacentral:rRNA from 1 species